rnacentral:tRNA from 1 species
CAGUUGGUAGAGCAGCUGCCUUGUAAGCAGCAGGUCGGGGGUUCAAGUCCCUUAACCA